GACAUCGAGUUGACCCAACAACAGGGCCUGUCCGGCCUGCAAGAGCCCCAGUCCAGGACAGCCCUUCCCCUCCCUCUGACCCAAAGCUCCUGCACCUUUACCUCUGGCCUCAUCGUUGAACAAUUGCAUUCUGCAGUUACCUCUGGCCUCAAAGGGUCAGUAUCGUUGAACAAUUACAUUCUGCAGUUACCUCUGGCCUCAAAUGGUCAGUAUCGUUGAACAAUUGCAUUCUGCAGUUACCUCUGGCCUAACAGGGUCAGUAUCGUUGAACAAUUCCAUUCUGCCGGAAAUUCUGAGCACGUCUAGUUUUCACGCGCUGUUCUCAACAACCGCAAUGUCCGCGUCGAUCUUUCCACACUCAGAUUGUUACCGACAAAAGAAAUUGAAACAGUAGUUAUGGUAACGUUUAGAAUCAGUUAUUUCUGUUGGACAUCACAACGAAUAUCACGAAGAAUUAAAAGAUGAAUAACUUGUGCCAUUAUUUAUGGGACGAACAUAAAUUCCCCAAGGAACGGUAGAAAAUCAAUGAACAAUUGAAACGAUUAAUUCAGAAGUGUAAGCUUUCCAAGGUAGAUACUUAUGCUGUUGAUAGUUUGGACAGUAGUAGCGCUGCGGACUGUCACGGUUUGUCCUUUAAGGCGUCCAAACUCACAAACUGUCAAAAGAGAACGCGCUUUUGACGCUGUUGCUGACAAAGAAAGGCAGUAAUGACUUUGUUGAUAACACCCAGAGCACGAUACAUGGGGUGUGCCUCAGACGCGAAUUCCGCCCAACAUCAGAAACAAAUAGAUACAAGUAAACACCUCCGGUUUUGUUACGAACACUUCGCACUACGAGCCCAAAGAGCAUCACAUUGAAUCGACGCUUGAGAGGGCUUCGAAAAAGGAAAGAAGUUUUGUUGUGUGGUCCAGAACACCCUUUGACUCUCAAACCGACAUUAAUCAGAACUCAAACUUGCCCCUUAGCAAUAUCAGCGAGGCCAGCAUGUCGUCUCAGGUUCAUGAACUUCAGCUGUUCAUGGUCAGUGUCCAGCUGUAUCUCAGAAACCAAGUCACGCUAGGAUAGCAGCAAAAACAGCAGCAGCAGUCUAGUUAUGGAUCGCCUCACACCACUCAGUGUCUUGCGAUGAAAUCCUCUACCGCGACCUUGACCUUGCCCCAGUACUCAUCUGGGGGUCUAUUUGAAGAUCACAUGGGCUUGGGUUGUCAUGGCAGUAAGAAAGUGUUCGAUUUUUAAGGAACUUGUUCACAGAUUUGUAUUAGUAGAUUGACUGACCCAAAUGACACUUCUAAAGCACAUUUAAAGGCAGCAUUAUAGUUUAAUAAACAAACAAACAUGUAACUUCAAGUUAAAGAAAUAUAUGGUAUGGUAUUACAAAAUGCUUUUAAUGCUUUUAUCUAAAUAAUAAGUAUCCCAAUUUAGAAAA